rnacentral:rRNA from 1 species
UACGGGGGGGGCAAGCGUUGUUCGGAAUUACUGGGCGUAAAGGGCGCGUAGGCGGUCAACUAAGUCAGACGUGAAAUCCCUCGGUUUAACCGGGGAACUGCGUCUGAUACUGGAUGGCUUGAGUUUGGGAGAGGGACGCGGAAUUCCAGGUGUAGCGGUGAAAUGCGUAGAUAUCUGGAGGAACACCCGUGGCGAAGGCGGCUCUCUGGGACGGUACUGACGCUGAGACGCGAAAGCGUGGGGAGCGAACAGG